rnacentral:rRNA from 1 species
GACGAACCGUGCGAACGUUAUUCGGAAUCACUGGGCUUAAAGCGCGUGUAGGCGGGGCGGUGCGUCGGUCGCUGAAAUCCCCCGGCUCAACCGGGGAAGGGGCGCCGAGACGACCGGCCUGGAGCGACGUAGGGGGAACUGGAACUUCCGGUGGAGCGGUGAAAUGCGUUGAGAUCGGAAGGAACGCCCGUGGCGAAAGCGAGUUCCUGGACGUCGGCUGACGCUGAUACGCGAAAGCGUGGGGAGCAAACGGG